AGCGAACGCUGGCGGCAGGCCUAACACAUGCAAGUCGAACGAACCCUUCGGGGUUAGUGGCGGACGGGUGAGUAACACGUGGGAACGUGCCUUUAGGUUCGGAAUAACUCAGGGAAACUUGUGCUAAUACCGAAUGUGCCCUUCGGGGGAAAGAUUUAUCGCCUUUAGAGCGGCCCGCGUCUGAUUAGCUAGUUGGUGAGGUAAUGGCUCACCAAGGCUACGAUCAGUAGCUGGUCUGAGAGGAUGACCAGCCACAUUGGGACUGAGACACGGCCCAAACUCCUACGGGAGGCAGCAGUGGGGAAUCUUGCGCAAUGGGCGAAAGCCUGACGCAGCCAUGCCGCGUGAAUGAUGAAGGUCUUAGGAUUGUAAAAUUCUUUCACCGGGGACGAUAAUGACGGCACCCGGAGAAGAAGCCCCGGCUAACUUCGUGCCAGCCGCCGCAGUAAGAC
rnacentral:rRNA from 1 species